GGGGGCGUAAAGGUUUCGACGGGGGUUUGGAACUUAAAGUAGCGAGCCGUGUUUCUCUGGGUCACGUAAAAAACUGGGGAUUAAAUAUAAACGCAAACGAUAAUUACGCUUUAGCAGCUUAAUAACCGCUGCUCGUCCUAUCUAGUUUGCCCACGAGCUAGAAUAGGGCGUCGACCAAGUGGGGAACUAUCUUUAGGGUGCCUUGACUAAAGAUGGAAUAAUUAAGGCUGGCCAAGCUCAAAGCCUGCUGUUAGGCGUUGAGUGAGGCGAGAUUUCAAUAUAGCAGCUACGCUCGUAGAAGCUUUAAGGAAAGAGCUCUCGGACAGGGGUUCGACUCCCCUCGCCUCCACCA
rnacentral:tmRNA from 1 species